rnacentral:rRNA from 1 species
AUUGAACGCUGGCGGCAUGCCUUACACAUGCAAGUCGAACGGUAACGGGCCUUCGGGUGCCGACGAGUGGCGAACGGGCGAGUAAUACAUCGGAACGUGCCCGAUCGUGGGGGAUAACGAGGCGAAAGCUUUGCUAAUACCGCAUACGAUCUACGGAUGACAGCAGGGGACCGCAAGGCCUUGCGCGGACGGAGCGGCCGAUGGCCGAUUAGGUAGUUGGUGGGAUAAAAGCUUACCAAGCCGACGAUCUGUAGCUGGUCUGAGAGGAUGAUCAGCCACACUGGGACUGAGACACGGCCCAGACGCCUACGGGAGGCAGCAGUGGGGAAUUGUGGACAAUGGGCGCAAGCCUGAUCCAGCCAUGCCGCGUGCAGGAUGAAGGCCUUCGGGUUGUAAACUGCUUUUGUACGGAACGAAAAGCCUUCUUUUAAUACAGGAGGGUCAUGACGGUACCGUAAGAAUAAGCACCGGCUAACUACGUG